rnacentral:sRNA from 1 species
UAUCCAGAGCCAUGUAAAUUGAGACGAAUAUGGUUGCUUGCAAACAUAUUUGGCUCAAUUUAUAUGGCGAAAGUAACCACAUGAGCAAAAAAAGAGCUGUGAAGCAGCGGUUUUGCGAAUGUGGUUCUGAAUAGGUAUAUAUAAAAGGUAUGGGAUGGAUA